rnacentral:lncRNA from 1 species
UUUAAGACAACAAUAUUAUCAGCAAUUGGAUGAAUUUCUUGACAGUUGAUAUUGAAUAGUUUUCUGUGCAAAUUCAACCUAGCAUUUUUUUAUCUGACCUGAACCCAUAUGGGAAUAGAAUAGGUGGGAUGAUGAUGGUCACAUAUAACGUAGGAUGUCUAAUGGCUAUUAAUGCAGUAUUAGAGAUUCUAGCAAUUGGCUAUCAUUUAAAAUUUAGUGAAGAAGUCA